AUUGAACGCUGGCGGCAGGCCUAACACAUGCAAGUCGAGCGGAGCGGCGGACGGGUGAGUAAUGCCUAGGAAUCUACCUGGUAGUGGGGGAUAACAUCCGGAAACGGGCGCUAAUAUCGCAUACUAUCAGUGGAGCCUAGGUCGGAUUAGCUAGUUGGUGUGGUAAAGGCCUACCAUGGCGACGAUCCGUAUCUGGUCUGAGAGGAUGAUCAGUCACAAUGGAAUUGAGACACGGUCCAGACUCCUACGGGAGGUAGCAGUGGGGACUAUUGGGCAAUGGGCGAAAGCCUGAUCAAGCCAUGCCGCGUGUGUGAAGAAGGUCAUCGGAUUGUAAAGCACUUUAAGUUGGGAGGCGUUACCUACAGAAUAAGCACCGGCUAACUUCGUGCCAGCAGCCGCGGUAAUAC
rnacentral:rRNA from 1 species